AAGCAAGUAGUUUAUAUCGGCUAAAACACUUCCCCUUCUAAGGAAGAGAUGCGUGUUCGACUCCCGCCUUGCUUUC
rnacentral:tRNA from 1 species